CCUUUGGAGUGUGACACCAAACGUUAGUAGAACGCUGAAUUUUCAAUGAACUUUCAGCUUCAAGAACGCACACGAGGAAGAAGGAA
ncrna:unclassified sequences RAGATH-18 RNA